rnacentral:rRNA from 1 species
UACGAAGGGGGCUAGCGUUGCUCGGAAUGACUGGGCGUAAAGCGCGCGUAGGCGGCCACAUAAGUCUGGGGUGAAAGGUUCACGGCUCAACCGGAACAGUGCCUUGGAAACUAUGUGGCUUGAGUGUGGCAGAGGAGCAUGGAAUUCCUGGUGUAGCGGUGAAAUGCGUAGAUAUCAGGAGGAACACCGGUGGCGAAGGCGGUGCUCUGGGCUAACACUGACGCUGAGGCGCGAAAGCGUGGGGAGCAAACAGG